rnacentral:lncRNA from 1 species
UUACCUUUUCUUUUUCAGCAAGCUUCCUUCAGUUUGUGCACAACUCUUUCAAGAAUUUUGCAUACCUUGGUAUUUGUUUUACCGCAUCAAGCAAAGGUAUGUUAAUCUCCACUUUUCUAAAGGUUUCAAGGAUCUCUCUUUCUUCUUUUUCUUUUUGUGAUUUUUCAAACCUUUUUGGAAAAGGAGGUGGAAUCUUGAAGCUUACUUGCUGGUUUGUAUUCUGCUGGUGUACUAGUGUUGUUUGCCCAGUCUGUUUGGGCAAACAGCACUCUGGCUGCUUGGGCAAACUGUCCCUAUCCUGCUGUGUAUGUUGUCUGCUUGUUUGCCCAGUCUAUUUGGGCAAACAACAGUCUGUCUCAGUUUCUGGCAGAUUUUCUUUAGCCACUUGUCUUUGCAAUUCUGAACCUCUAUCAUCAACCUUGACAUCUUGAAGUUCUUUCCCACUUCUUAACAUUAUGGUACUUACAUUUUGCUUGGGAUUGGCCUCGGUUUGGGAUGGCAACUUUCCUUUAGAUUCAAGUUUACUCACAGAGGUGGCUAUUUGACCCAUUUGCUGUUGGAGACUUUGCACAAUGUUCACCAAUGACUUCAUCAUCUCCUCAAGGUGCGUAUUGGACCUUGGAGGUGCUAUUUGGGCUGGAUUUCUUGGAUAAUUUUGGUAGUUGUUAGCCCUAGCAUAGCUGAAGUUCGGAUGGUCUAUCCAACCGGGAUUGUAGGUGUUAGAAUAUGGAUCAUCUCUUGGUUGUCCAUUAAAUCCUCCAAUGGCAUUUACUUGCUGGUCAUCCUCUUGAAGUGUAGGACAUUGAUCAGUUGGGUGUCCCACAUGUGCACAUAUCCCGCAUGGCCUUAUUUGCUGAAGUUGUUGAGCUUGUUGGGAUUGACUUAUAACAAGACUUCUCACAGCAGAGGUUAGUUCAGAAAUUUGAGAUGUAAGAGCAGAUGUAAGAGCAGAUGUACUUACCUCAUUGACUCUCCUUGGCAACUGUAACAGCCCGGGAAUCCAGACCGCUACCGGCGCUAGGAUCCAGAUCGGCGUAAGGCCGUCGGGACCCGUAGCAAGCCUGACAUCUAACCUGUAAACCUGUAAACAUUUGCAUAUCUCAACCAAGCUCAACCUGUACAUUACAUAAUCAUAAACAUAAACCACCACUGGAGCCUUCAUCAAAUGCUCCAAUGGGGUAUCUCAUCAUAUGUUGAGCUUGGACUAUCAUGAACAUCAUAAACAUAUCUAUAGAUCAUGUAUCAAAAGGGACAACAAUACUCAUAUGGUCAAGCACAACUAUAACCACAAUACAUAACAUUACAUAACUGUUCUAUACUCUUACAUUUCAUCAAUUACAUUUGUCAUGUCCACAAUCUAACUAUUACAUAUGCAUACUUCAAGACUCUGGCUAACCUCCUGGUCUACCCUGUACCUGCACAUCUGGGGUUAGGAGAGAGGGGUGAGCUAUAUAGCCCAGUGAGCAGAAUAUAGAAAACAUAUAUUAAAAUUUCAUGCUUUCAUGAAAUUCAACACACCACAAACAAAUCACAUAAGGAUGAACUUGUCACCAAUGGCCCUCUACAUGGUCCAAUGAGGUCCAACUGUGCCAGAACGUAGAAUGGGUCCUGGUCUUUCUCUUACUCUGUGCCAGGGACGUAGAAUGGGUCUUCCUGGACUUUCUCUUACUCUGUGCCAGGGACGUAGAAUGGGUCUUCCUGGACUUCCAUACCAUAUCAUCAUAAUAUCAUACUAUACGAGGACCAAUGGAUCAUCCAACAUUCAUCCGCAUCAACAACAAAGUAUGCAAUGCAACAACUUCGUGAAUACUAAUGCAAACACCCUAUAAUAUCACAUGGCAAAUAUGAUGCAUGAUCAUGCUCAAAAAGUUAUAUCUCAUUUAUUUAAAAACUUAAGGUUUAUUCCACUCACCUCUGGCUGAAGCUCUAAAGACUCUGACAAUCUCUGUAGCAGCUGGCUCACUGCUGGGGUCCUCGGUUCCUCGGGUCCGAACCUACACAGGUGGACUCCAAUGAGGGACCAAACAUACACAAACAUAACUCUAAUGUACUCCCCAAAAACCCCCUGAAACAUCAUGAAAAAACCAUAGGAAUACAUGCAUGAAAUGGCUGAACAGGGCACUUUCGGCGGCAGGUUCGGCGGCCGAAAGUCCCUCCAGAGCCGAAUCCCAGGCAGGUUCGGCGGCACCUUCGGCGGCCGAAAGUCCCAGACAGAGACGAAAGUCUCUUUUCGGGGGCAACUUCGGCAGCCGAAAGGCCUGCCUCCCCAGCCAUGUUCGGCGGCCGAAAGUCCUUCGGCUGCCGAACCUGGUUUCUGCCAAAGGGCAGAAACUUGGCUCCUCUGUGCACAUUUCGCCUCCCAAGCUCAAAUCAUGCAUACCACUCAACCAAAACAUGCAUACAAGCUCCUAGGGGUCUCAAACAAACAUAUACCCCAACUACAACACUUCAAACACACACAAUCAAGCCACAUUGUUCAAGAAUCACAUAAAACCUAACAUAGCUCAACUAAUCCUAAACAUGGAUUUCUACCCCAUAAAACUUUAUAAAACUUGUUUAAAACAUAUAUUGAGCUUAAGAUCGGCUCUUACCUCUUGAAGAUCGAGAGAGAGACGACCGAAACUUGGAGGUCCAAGCAAAUGAGCUCCUGAGUUUCCAAAGCUCCGAAACUUGUUCAAAACUUGAAAAUCUUCAAAACCAAAGUUACAAACUUGUAAAAAUCAUGGAAAAUGAAAGGAAAAACUCAAGAUUUGUGAAGGAUGGCGGAAAGCUCACCUUGGCCGAAAUGGGGAGAAAAAGCUCGCCCGUUUUCGGCUAAGGGACCCUUUUAUAGUGGCUGGCCAGACCACGUUCGGGGGCCGAAAGUGCUUCCGCAUGCAGGCCAUGUUCGGCGGCCGAACUUGAGUUUCGACGGCCGAACCUGGACUUCCCUCACUCAUGCUUUCGGGGGCCUAACGUGCCUCCAAAACGCAUGCAUGUUCAGCGGCCGAACUUGACUUUCGGCGGCCGAACCUGGGUUUUCCUCCAAAAACUUUUCAUGCAAAAACUCAUUUAAUUUCAUACUUAAAACCAUUAAAAACAUGAAAACAUUUUAUAAAAACAUACUUUUACCCUUCUAGAGGUUUCCGACAUCCGGGAUUCCACCGGACGGUAGGAAUUCUGAUACCGGAGUCUAGCCGGGUAUUACAUUCUCCCCCCCUUAAGAACAUUCAUCCCCGAAUGUUCCUCAACUAGCGCAUGCAUAACAUACAUAUACAUCACAUAAACACAUAAAUACUAACCUCUAAAAGAGAUGGGGAUAUUGCUGGAGCAUGGACUCCCGUGUCUCCCAAGUGCAUUCUUUCAUAUUGUGGUGGUUCCAAAGGACUUUCACCAUCGGGAUUUCCUUGUUCCUCAACUUUCUGAUCUGGGUGUCCAGAAUCCGCACUGGCUGUUCAACAUAGGUGAGAUCCUCUUGGAUCUCCACAUCAGGCUCACUAAGAACCUUGCUCGGAUCUGACACGAACUUUCUUAACAUGGAAACAUGGAAAACCGGAUGGACUCUUUCCAUAGAUGCAGGCAAGUCCAGCUUGUACGAUACAUUCCCAACCUUUUGCAAGACCUCAAAGGGUCCGAUGUAUCGUGGGGCUAGCUUACCUUUCUUACCAAACCGAACCACCCCUUUCAUAGGAGACACUCUGAGCAAUACCAGAUCUCCCUCCUGAAACUCUACUUGUCUUCUGCGAAGGUCUGCAUAACUCUUCUGUCUGCUCAUAGCAGUCUUAAUCCUUUCUCUGAUCAUGGGCACCACCCUGCUGGUGAUCUCUACAAGCUCAGGCCCUGCUAAGGACCUCUCUCCAACCUCUUCCCAGCAAACGGGUGAUCUGCACUUCCUCCCAUACAAAGCUUCAUAUGGAGCCAUCCCUAUGCUGGCAUGAUAGCUGUUAUUGUAGGCAAACUCCACCAAGGGUAGAUGUUGCCUCCAAGAACUGCCAAAAUCCAGCACACACAUUCUGAGCAUGUCCUCUAUAGUCUAGAUGGUCCUCUCUGACUGUCCAUCAGUCUGGGGGUGGAAGGCAGUACUGAAAUCCAACCUGGUACCCAUAGCACUCUGCAGACUCCGCCAAAACCUGGAGGUGAACUGGGGCCCUCUAUCUGACACUAUAGACACUGGGACCCCAUGCAGUCUGACAACUUCAUCCACAUAGACCUGCGCUAACUUAUCCACAUAGUAGUUGCUCCUGGCUGGAAUGAAGUGAGCAGAUUUAGUGAGUCUGUCCACAAUCACCCAUAUGGAGUCUAAUCUGUUGGAUGUUGCCGGUAACCCCACUACGAAGUCCAUAGCUAUAUUCUCCCAUUUCCACUCUGGAAUAGGUAGCGGGUUAAGCAUCCCAGCCGGCUUCUGAUGUUCCAGCUUCACCCUCUGACACACUUCGCAGGCUGACACGAACUGUGCCACUUCCCUCUUCAUAGCUGGCCACCAAUAAACUCUCUUCAGAUCUUGAUACAUUUUGGUGGCUCCAGGGUGAACAUUGUAUUUUGCAUUAUGAGCCUCCCUCAUAAUGUCUCCUUUCAACCCGAUGUCAUCUGGUACACAUAGUCUGUUCCCAUAACGGAGGAUCCCCUUAUCAUCAAAUCUGAACUCCUCAUUCUUGCCCGACUGAACAAUCCUGGCAAUCUUCACUAACUCUGGGUCCUCGUGCUGUUUCUGAGCCACCUGCUCCAGAAACACAGGUGCUACUUUCAUCUGGGCUAUCAAAGCACCUGUACCAGACAACUCCAUCUGUAGACCUUCCUCAAUGAGCUUGGAAAACUCCUUCACCACCGGUCUCCUCUCUGCUGUGAUGUGGGAUAGGCUGCCAAGUGAUUUCCGGCUUAAGGCAUCAGCUACUACAUUAGCCUUACCCGGAUGGUACUGGAUCUUACAAUCAUAGUCACUGAGCAGCUCUACCCAUCUCCUCUGCCUCAAAUUCAGCUCUCUCUGGCUCAAAAUGUGCUGCAGGCUCUUAUGAUCUGUGAAGAUCUCACAUUUUACCCCAUAGAGGUAAUGCCUCCACAUCUUGAGGGCAAAGAUAACUGCUGCCAUCUCAAGGUCGUGUGUGGGGUAAUUCAACUCAUGCCUCUUCAGCUGUCUAGAAGCAUAAGCUAUCACCCUUCCAUUCUGCAUUAGCACACAACCCAAACCUACUCUGGAUGCAUCACAGAACACUGUGAAGUCCUCAUUGCUAGUCGGCAGAGCUAACACUGGUGCUGAAGUCAACCUCUUCUUGAGCUCCUCAAAGCUUUCCUCACACUGGUCGGUCCACACGAACCUCUGAUUCUUUCUGGUCAAUCUGGUUAGAGGAGCUGCUAUCUUAGUGUAUUCCAGGAAUGCAGAGGAGCAUGCCCAUCAUCUGAGGAUAGUUCUACAGACCUUGAGGGAACAUGGCUUGUAUGCCAAGUUCUCCAAGUGUGAGUUCUGGUUGAGAAGCAUCUCAUUCUUGGGGCAUGUAGUGUCAGAGAACGGAAUUGAAGUAGACCCCAAGAAGGUAGAAGCUGUAACUAACUGGCCUAGACCCACCUCAGUGACAGAGAUCAGAAGUUUAUUGGGUUUGGCUGGUUACUACAGGAGGAGAAGUCCUGCCCGGAAAUUCGGACCGCUACCGGCGCUAGGAUCCAGAUCGGCGUAAGGCCGCCGGGACCCGUAGCAAGCCUGACAUCUAACCUGUAAACCUGUAAAUCCCAUACAUGAUCAAACAACUCUAAAGAAUCUGUAAACAUUUUCAUAUCUCAACCAAGCUCAACCUGUACAUUACAUAAUCAUAAACAUAAACCACCACUGGAGCCCUCAUCAAAUGCUCCAAUGGGGUAUCUCAUCAUACGUUGAGCUUGGACUAUCAUGAACAUCAUAAACAUAUCUAUAGAUCAUGUAUCAAAAGGGACAACAAUACUCAUAUGGUCAAGCACAACUAUAACCACAAUAUACCUCAAUACAUAACAUUACAUAACUGUUCUAUACUCUUACAUUUCAUCAAUUACAUUUGUCAUGUCCACAAUCUAACUAUUAUAUAAGCAUACUUCAAGACUCUGGCUAACCUCCUGGUCUACCCUGUACCUGCACAUCUGGGGUUAGGGGAGAGGGGUGUGCUAUAUAGCCCAGUGAGCAGAAUAUAGAAAACAUAUAUUAAAAUUUCAUGCUUUCAUGAAAUGCAACACAUCACAAACAAAUCACAUAAGGAUGAACUUGUCACCAAUGGCCCUCUACAUGGUCCAAUGAGGUCCAACUGUGCCAGAACGUAGAAUGGGUCCUGGUCUUUCUCUUACUCUGUGCCAGGGACGUAGAAUGGGUCUUCCUGGACUUUCUCUUACUCUGUGCCAGGGACGUAGAAUGGGCCUUCCUGGACUUCCAUACCAUAUCAUCAUAAUAUCAUACUAUACGAGGACCAAUGGAUCAUCCAACAUUCAUCCGCAUCAACAGCAAAGUAUGCAAUGCAACAACUUCGUGAAUACUAAUGCAACACCCUAUAAUAUCACAUGGCAAAUAUGAUGCAUGAUCAUGCUCAAAAGUUUAUAUUUCAUUUAUUUAAAAACUUAAGGUGUAUUCCACUCACCUCUGGCUGAAGCUCUAAAGACUCUGACAAUCUCUGUAGCAGCUGGCUCACUGCUGGGGUCCUCGGUUCCUCGGGUCCGAACCUACACAGGUGGACUCCAAUGAGGGACCAAACAUACAUAAACAUAACUCUAAUAUACUCCCCAAAAACCCCC